rnacentral:rRNA from 1 species
AUGCCGAGGUGCAGAUGCACGUCAGGCCGGGCUCGGCCGGCCCAAAAGGCUCCUUCACCAUCGACGGCUGGACGGCCGUCUUAUGGAGCAGGCCGGCCAAUUCCUUCAAGGAGCCGACUGCCUGGCGCAAGGACCAUGAGGUCCGUGCUCACGAGGUCUCUUUCGUCCACGGCGAAAACAACACGGUGCCAGGCUUUGAGUUGCUCCCGGCUGUGCUGGAUCACCAAGGUAACCCGCAGCCGACCUUGGUGGGGAUCCACGUUGGCCAUCCCAAGCUCAGAUUUGAUGGCCAAGGUCAACCGCUGGUACCGCAAAGCGUGGGUAAUCGCUGUCGACAUGAAGAACAAGAGGCUGCGGGGAGUGGCCGAGUUUGGUAGAGCACCAAGGUGCGCGUCAUUUCACCAUGCCUACCGGCAAAGCAGGAUCUGGGAGCAUCUCAAUGUCUCCCAAGGUACAAAGAGUCACCUGAAACGACCAGGGAUGCCACUGCCACAUGGAAGCUCUCACAAGAAGCCCGAGAUCUCUCCGCAUCAUGUGAUGCAUCACUGUCCCAGUGGACAAAACCCCAGAGCGACAUGGCCCACAUUUCUCGGGCAGACUACUGAUGAUGAUGAUUAUGAUGAUGAUGAACGGACAAGGAUGGCAGACGACAUGGACUUGGAAUGA